rnacentral:rRNA from 1 species
CCUACGGGAGGCAGCAGUGGGGAAUAUUGCACAAUGGGGGAAACCCUGAUGCAGCGACGCCGCGUGAAGGAAGAAGUAUUUCGGUAUGUAAACUUCUAUCAGCAGGGAAGAAAAUGAAGGUACCUAACCAAGAAGCCCCGGCUAACUACGUGCCAGCAGCCGCGGUCAUACGGAGGGGGCAAGCGUUAUCCGGAUUUACUGGGUGUAAAGGGAGCGUAGGCGGUUUAGCAAGUCAGAAGUGAAAGCCCGGGGCUCAACGCCGGGACUGCUUUUGAAACUGUUGAACUAGAUUGCAGGAGAGGGAAGUGGAAUUCCUAGUGUAGCGGUGAAAUGCGUAGAUAUUAGGAGGAACACCAGUGGCGAAGGCGGCUAACUGGACUAUAAAUGACGCUGAGGCUCGAAAGCGUGGGGAGCAAACAGGAUUAGAUACCCCAGUAGUC